AUUUUAAGAUCCAGCAAAGCUGUUUGUAACUUAGCAUGUCACCUAAUUUUCUGUUGGUAAAGGUCUAGAUACUUGCCUUCUUCAUAAGAUAAUAAAGGCUACAUCUGUGACUAAGAUACCUAGAUUUUCUAUUCAAAGAAUUUUAAGUUGUAUCUGAUUACGGUUAUGCACAAUUUUAAGCUGAUUUUGGUACAGGUAAAAGACUAGCUUGUACACAAAAAUCAAAGUUCAAUGCAAUAAAAGAAUGUGUUUAAACUUGCCAAGUACUGAACUAGCAAUGUUAGAUUGAAAGAAAUGCUUUUUAGUUGUACUGGCUCUAAAUUAUUGUAAACCAUACUAAAAAUCUUCAGUUAUUUUAUAUGCAUAUAUGCAUGCAGACUAUGUCUUUUUGGGGUUGUUUGUGCAGAAUUGUACAGCUUUUGACUUUACCCAACACUCAGUUGCUGUAGUUUUGAGAGCAGAGAAGCUUUGACAUUACCAGCUAUAUUGUAACAUGUAAUGUCUCUCAGUUGAUUAUAAUUAAUAAAUGGAUUAAAAAUUG
rnacentral:misc_RNA from 1 species